GUGUCAGCAGCCGCGGUAAUACGUAGGAGGCAAGCGUUAUCCGGAUUUACUGGGCGUAAAGCGGGUGUAGGUGGCCCUUCAAGUCGGAUGUUAAAUCUCCUGGCCUAACUAGGAGGGUGCAUUCGAUACUGUUGGGCUGGAGUGCAGUAGAGGAAAGCGGAAUUCCCGGUGUAGUGGUGAAAUGCGUAGAUAUCGGGAGGAACACCAGUGGCGAAGGCGGCUUUCUGGGCUGUUACUGACACUGAGGCCCGAAGGCGUGGGGAGCAAACAGGAUUAGAUACCCUGGUAGUCCACGCAGUAAACGAUGGACACUAGGUAUGGGGAGUAUCGACCCUCCCUGUGCCGAAGCUAACGCUUUAAGUGUCCCGCCUGGGGAGUACGGUCGCAAGACUAAAACUUAAAUGAAUUGGCGGGG
rnacentral:rRNA from 1 species